UGAGUAACCUGCCCUAGGCUUUGGGAUAACCCUCGGAAACGGGGGCUAAUACUGGAUAUUCCCGCGGGAUCGCAUGGUUUUGUGGGGAAAGGUUUUCCGGCUUGGGAUGGGCUCGCGGCCUAUCAGCUUGUUGGUGGGGUGAUGGCCUACCAAGGCGACGACGGGUAGCCGGCCUGAGAGGGUGUCCCGCCACACUGGGACUGAGACACGGCCCAGACUCCUACGGGAGGCAG
rnacentral:rRNA from 1 species